UUGGAAACAGAUGCUAAUACCGCAUAACAACGUUGUUCGCAUGAACAACGCUUAAAAGAUGGCUUCUCGCUAUCACUUCUGGAUGGACCUGCGGUGCAUUAGCUUGUUGGUGGGGUAACGGCCUACCAAGGCGAUGAUGCAUAGCCGAGUUGAGAGACUGAUCGGCCACAAUGGGACUGAGACACGGCCCAUACUCCUACGGGAGGCAGCAGUAGGGAAUCUUCCACAAUGGGCGCAAGCCUGAUGGAGCAACACCGCGUGAGUGAAGAAGGGUUUCGGCUCGUAAAGCUCUGUUGUUAAAGAAGAACACGUAUGAGAGUAACUGUUCAUACGUUGACGGUAUUUAACCAGAAAGUCACGGCUAACUACGUGCCAGCAGCCGCGGUAAUACGUAGGUGGCAAGCGUUAUCCGGAUUUAUUGGGCGUAAAGAGAGUGCAGGCGGUUUUCUAAGUCUGAUGUGAAAGCCUUCGGCUUAACCGGAGAAGUGCAUCGGAAACUGGAUAACUUGAGUGCAGAAGAGGGUAGUGGAACUCCAUGUGUAGCGGUGGAAUGCGUAGAUAUAUGGAAGAACACCAGUGGCGAAGGCGGCUACCUGGUCUGCAACUGACGCUGAGACUCGAAAGCAUGGGUAGCGAACAGGAUUA
rnacentral:rRNA from 1 species